AGAAUGUGAAUUCAUGGCACGGCCCUGCUCGCAUCUGAAACUCUGCAGACAGAGCCUGGCAACCACACAGCUUCACAGAAGUCAGAGAAGUGUAUACAUCGAAGUAUGUCAGCAAUUAUUCAGUCACAGAUGAUAAAAGAAGAUUUUUCAUGGUGGUGUUAGAACAUCUGUUUCUGUGAUUCAAUGGAAAAAGUACUUCAUGAGAAAACAGAGCAAUGGGUCUUACAAACCAUUCCUGAUUUCUGAGCCCAUGAAUGAAAAGUGUUAACUGCAACAGAUCACUACUCUGGAUGGCAGGACUGUCCUCAUCGAUAUAUCCCGUGUGAAGAAGCUUAGUUUUCAAUGAAAGGCAUUUUGCAAUAUAUCUGUCAUGGAACAACAUUUGAAUGCCACAGCCUACUAUCUUCCAUCCUAACAUAAGCUAUCUAAGACAGACGUAGUGAAUCUUUUAUUUGGAGGUCUCUCUCUUUUCAACUAAGCAGGAGUCAAAUGAGUUUUCAUUCACAGAUUGACUAAAGUUAGGAGAAUGAAUCUCAGCUUGAAUUACCUCAGGGAAAUCGAAGAACAAGACUAUGAGACUAACUGCACACAGCCCUGUAGAAAGGUUGGAAUUAUUGGUGGCUAUAUCAAUAGUUUCAUCUAGGUUUGUGGGCACCUCUUACCAAUGGACAAACUGUUGGCUUGAAACUCCACUCUGAACAAACUUCUGUCAUGCUUAGAGGCAGGGAGUUGUUUAAACUUUCAGAGAAAAAGAUAUUUAGGUAGGUAAUUUUCUUUAGUAGUGAUAUGCCUUUCCUUUGUGAAAAAACUAACAGCACAGAAAGCAUACAAUUUGAAAAAAAAAAAUUACAAGCCCUUUUAGUUUCACUGUUUAAUUUGAUAUUUUCGUUCGUUAUUCAAAUAAUCUAAACUUUAUAGAUCACCAUGAUUUUUAAUCCUGCAAUAUUUUGCUCUCUUUUAUUCCCACAUAAUUAUUCUUCCUGUGUUGUAACAUAUUUGGCAAUGAGAUAAAUGACAACUGGUCAAUUACCUUCUUUAUUACUUUGGUAAAAACCGCAAAUAGCUUUCUGAAACUAGUAAAAAUAAAAGGUUGAUAUAAAUGAGAAAAUAUUAAGGUUUGAUACUAAUUAUUCUCUGCAAAUCAAAUUCCAGUACUGUCCCUUUACCUUCAUGGGUGGAGACUGCAUCUCCAGAAGAGAUACAUCUUCUGGAGAUCCAGAAGUCUUCGUAAAGUAGUAAUAUACCCAACAUUGAAACUAUUGAUCAGUCUUAACACAAAUAAAGCCCCAAACCUGUAUAAAACCAACUCUAUAUAAGAUCAUUCAGUAUAAAAAAACCCUCACUUUAUCAGUAGCGCUGCUUGUAGACAGCAAUAUGGCUUCUGAAUUGUUGAAAGCUGCCAUUUCCAGAUGCUUCAAAUCCUAACCUAAUUUCUACAUAAUAACCUUAUAUAUAUAAAAAAAAAAAAAAAAAAAAAAAAAGAAA